rnacentral:rRNA from 1 species
UACGGGGGGGGCAAGCGUUGUUCGGAAUUACUGGGCGUAAAGGGCUCGUAGGCGGCCAACUAAGUCAGACGUGAAAUCCCUCGGCUUAACCGGGGAACUGCGUCUGAUACUGGAUGGCUGGAGUUUGGGAGAGGGAUGCGGAAUUCCAGGUGUAGCGGUGAAAUGCGUAGAUAUCUGGAGGAACACCGGUGGCGAAGGCGGCAUCCUGGACCGGUAUUGACGCUGAGGCGCGAAAGCUAGGGGAGCAAACGGGG